rnacentral:lncRNA from 1 species
CGAAAGCAUAAGUCCACAGCAUGAUAACUGAACAUUCAUUCUCUCCUGCUCCGAAUAAUUGCGUCAUUGUUCCUGCCAUAUUUUAAAGGAUCAAUAAACAAUACUUGAGAAUAAACUUACAUUUGUUAGAUUGAGCGAGCAACUUCUGAUUGCACUUUUUUGUUGCUAAACAACAGGAGCAAGCGUACCUAUGUUCAUCGCAGGUGGGAGUGAAAACUGAAGCAGAAGAACAAACAGAUAUAAUGGGUCAGAGUGCACCAACCCAAAUUUCAGUGCCCCUUUAAUAACCAAUAUGCCUAUAAGAGGCAGGGCAACAUAACGAACAACGAUGAUGCCAACGACAAGAGAUUUCUGAAUCCCUGACCCUCUCAAACCUGAAACAACAAUGUGAAGUAAGUUCUAAACUAAACCAACAAUUAAGUACAUCACUAACAGAAUUUGUAUGGGUUAUUACCCUUAAGUAGGUUUCCUCCUAUUAUCAAAGUGAGAGCUGGGAUGGCUCCGUCCCUGCAAUCAUAAAGAACAAGUCUCUUUAACUGAUGCUGAGUGAACAACAAAAAUGGUACAAACAGACAAGUAUUCUACUUUUAUGCUAAUUGAGAACCAAAUUAUUCAUUCGGAUAUGUACAACUAUAGGACCAAGCAUGGUUAGUAUCUUCCCUAGUAUGUAAUAGUAUUAAGAACGGGAAGCUAGAUUAGUUGCCAAUAAGUGCAUAGAUCGUGGAUAAAUUAUUAAGGUUUAAUACAGUUCGGGCAUAAGUUCGAUACCCCAACAAAUAAGCAGUAUCUUGAAUCACCCGUAGAGGAGCACCAUCUCCUAUCAGUAAUUUUCGAAUCUGAGGAAUGACUCCGAUUGCAAAACCAACAAUCUACACCAGGAAAAGAUUAAGUUUGCCCAAAUUUUCAAUAAAAUUGCGCUGAAUCUGGAUCACAAUGAUAUAAAAGUGCCGAACGGACAUACCGCUCCAAUAGUUGAAGGGGCAAAUAUUGUUUUCAGAUUGAUCUUUUCAAACACCAUCACUAUACGUUGCUUUAGUUUACCUGAAGUCGUCGCCUGCCAUGGAAAACAACAAAGAUAUGCAGUGUAAGAAAUUGAAAAGAAACAGGGCAACUUUCUCUUGUUAGAGAUGCCCGGCAUGUUACAUUGUGAGAUUGCGAAUCUGGAUCAUACAUUCAAAUGACAUUCAUUUGAUUAGUCGUCUGGAUUGACAGUCUAGCAAUAAAACAUUUCUAAGUAUUUCUGAGAAAAAGAUAUUUUCUCAAUAAACAAAUCUUAAUAUAGAUUUGUUGGAAAUACUUAAAGCAUCAAAUUGAAUGAGUAUCAUUGUAGUUUAAUGGAGUUAGCAACCUUUGGUUUUUCUUCAGGCGCAGCAGUGUAUGGCAGUGAAUAUUGAUCCCCAUUUUCCUCAACUAUGACAUAUUCCUUUGAAGAAAGCAGCGGCUCAGUGCAACUUACUUGGUCGGAUGUAGGGGACCUCUCGGCGGACUGAUUAGAAUCUUGGGUGCCCCUUGUUGAAGAUAUCCGCACAAUAUUAUAUACAUAGGACCACAAAUACACGGCUCCUAUCUGAAGCAUGAACACAAUUGCAUUACAAAAAGCAAAGAUAGGAAUCCCUGACAGCUGAACAAGGUAGCUACAUUGUAGAGGAGAAACAGUCGCUAGAAUUCAAGAGGAAAAUUGAAGGACAGAAGAAAAUGUGUUCAGAAAAAUGUAUUCUACACAGCAAGCAGGUGCACACGAACACCAUUUAAGAAGUGGCCCUGGCCGUUUGGGGUAGUACAAUUUGUAUGUAUAAUUGUAUAUGUUCUAGACAUGAGAUGAAACUUAUGAUGAUAUCAACGAUUAAAAUCGUGAGUUCGAAUCGCAGUAACUGCGCCUUUUCAACUUGAAUGAGAGAAAUGAAUUUUAACUUGUUUGAAGCAGCUUCCCAAUCCAUUCUUAAUUCGAAUCGUAGAAAGCAAGAUAAAGGAAUAAUAUUUCAAUAAAACCCAAAAUAUUAGAACAAGACGAAGAGGGAAUAUGUACCGCCAUUGAGAGCGAAGCAUAAGCCAUAGCAUAUGUGUGACAGACAUCAGGAGCUCCAAACGGGCUCCCUUUUUCUUUACAAACUGCUGGGACUAUAAUGAGGAGCAAGUUACCCAAAUUUCCUGUUAAGUGUUAACAUCAGCAUCUCUAAAGAUUGAUAAAACGCGAAACUGAGUAUUUAUCAGCUGCGAUUUAGAAUUAGAAAUAAGAUUAAAUUCAAAUAUGUGUUAGACUGUGAGGGUAGAGCGUUGACUUACCUGCAGCACAGCAACCCAAGACAAGGCCUCGCAGAUGUGCAGGAGGCCUUGUUAAUUGGAUGAGAAUCCAUCCGAGCACGGAACCAAUUAUAAACGUGAUGAGGAUAUUCACUGGCAUGAACCACCUAUACACAUAAUAAUUAUUACAACAUUCACAUGAUUAUAUAUACAUGUAUGUAUAUAUGUAGAUCGAACAAAGUAAUUACAACUCACAUUUUAACCAUGCUUUCAUAUGUAAUUGUCUUCGCAAGGUUGGAACCCACGAGAGCAGGACUGAACACAUAAAAUACAACCUGUUCGUUCGUUCGUUGGUUCACAAAACACAAAUACCAGUAAGAAAACAGUCCAACACGAGAAAUAAAUUGAUUGAAUGAAGAAGCGGUGUAGUGUUAUUAACUUACAGUGUUUAAGUUCUUUCUAGUAACUUCCCCCAAAAUAUCGACACGAUCAAGAGCAAGAUAAGAGCCAAGUGCUGUUAUCAAAAGCACUUUCAACACCGGAAUUGAGGCCGUCACGAACAGCUGCAGAAGUUCCAUCCUCUUCUUUUAUCAAUUAUUCUAAAUUAUUAUUAGCUCGUCCUCACCUCCCCUCUGCCACCUCUGUUUCUGCAAACGUAAUGACAAACCAAACAGAAAACAAAGAGACAAUCAAAAUGCUAGUUUUUGGGAGAGGAAUUAACAACAUAUAUAUAUAUAUACGUUUAUGAUACUAAUAAGAGAGAAUUAGAGUAAAAUGGGGAGGUUUUUAAGAUGUGGGAUCGAACCUCCGGAUUCGUAUUAAAUAGUACUAUUAUGGCAUGUGCCAAACGAGGCCCAACCUGUAAAGUUAAGCUCAGAAUGAUUUGCUUUUAUUUUGCUUUCAUGAAAACAGAGGAGAGGAGGGGAAGAGGAAAAACAACAAGAGAGCUUAUGCAUUUAUGUGAAUGAAUGCAUAUGCAUUUAUGCACCAAUUAUACCUGUAGUCGCGUGUCAGAGCUGGGUCGACCCGAUGCAGAUGGGAUCAUGUGAUGGCGCUGAAAUAAAACAGUUUAAUCAACACACGUCUCAUCUGGCGUCAGCGUUUCUGUCUUUUUCUGCUUCCCAUUUCCUUUGCCAAUGGUGACUUGGUUACUACAAUUGGCCCUUCGCAAUCACUGCUAUUUCAUUAUGUCAUGUCCCUCCCAAGGGAGAGACAGAAAGCCACACUUCGUUGCAACCACAUGUUUGCAACCGCAUGUGCGCGGUUAAUUCUCAUAAAACAUAUUCAUUUAUUCUUCAUCAUCAGUAUUACAUUUAACAGCGAAUGAUCGUAUCAUUUAUUUUUAGUGUAAAAAUUUGAUUUUUCGUUAAAAUGAACAGUACCGGGAGUUUUUCGUUAAAGUUCUCUUAUUUUAACCCAUCCCUUAUUUUAACCCAUACUAGCAUUUGUCUACACACUUUGUGUGUAUGAACACAUUUUUUUAGAAAAUCAGAAGAAGAGAGGGAGAGGGAGAGGGAGAACUGGGGGGCGGGGGGAGUUUUUUUUGUUUUUUUGUUUUUUUUAAUAUUGGAAGUAUUUUAACAUCACAUGUAGGUGAGGCUUCAAUAAAAAAUAGUAAAAUUUGGACCUGUGAAAUUACAUCAUUGCCAUCAUAUUUUUUGUGUGAUAGAAGACGAGUUUAUCUUUUAUCCUCUUUUGGUUGACAAAGAGGGUUUUAUUAAUUAGUAGAGAUAAUGAACUGUUUGAUCCUCAUGAAAAUAGAUGAUUAAAUGAUAGGGGUGCAACUUGGGUGGGAAAUUUGGAAAUAUAACCAAAAUUUGUACCUCAUAUAGAAUUAUAGCCAUGAUUUUAAUUUUAUGAUAACUAUAACCAAAAGUUAAUAUAAAAGUACUACUAUACCCUUAAUCACUGAAUCCUUAUAUGUUGUUUUCCUAAACCCACCUGUAACCAAUCUCCAUCCAAGUCAGCUCCGACAGAGAGUUGCGAUUGGAAAGCUGAGCCUUGGAUCCUUCACUUUACACGCGUUUUUGCCUUUCUAUCUCUCUCUGCUUUUUUUUUCUUUCCAUCUCUAGUCUUAAAAAGCUUUAACUUUUAGCUUUUGGGUAUUCAAAUGAGAAGAAACUAGGAGGAGGAGGAGGAGGAGGAGGAGGAGGAGGAGGAAGAAAUCGGUAGAAUUAGAACAUAGAAUUAUCAAUUUAACUUCUUAAACUCGUAUCUAAAUUAAAUGAUUGUUUAGUUGUAUUGGAUUUUCUUCUAAAUUUUCAAAAUUUUCCAUCUGAGUUUUUGUGAACACGAAAUUUUCCUGAAACGAAACGAGACAAGAACAACGUGCACAAAAUAAUAUUAUGUAUUUUGAUGAUUUUGGGUUACAAUCUCUCUCAAAUUUGAUCCUCUGAUUCGAUCUCCGUAAGGUGUUGAUUUGUGGAUGUUUCGUUGAUCCAAGGGCCGUUGAGGCUUGAUCUUGGAUGAACUGUUGGAAGUUUCUUCAAGGGGCCGUGGGCUUGAUCUUUGAAGGUGGAUUUGAGCGGAUCUUCAAGGAGCCGUUGGGGCUUGAUCUUGAGGAUGAAUGUUUCUUCAAGGGCCGUUAAAGCUUGAUCUUGAAUAACGGUGAUGAACGGAUCUUCAAGGGCUUUUGGGCUUAAUCUUGAAGAACGGUUGGAUGUGUGGAUUUGUCAACGUUGUUGAUCCAAAGGGCCGUUGGGGCUUGAUCUUAAGAUGAACGAAUGAUGAACGAUGGUGCUUUCUUCAAGGGCCGUCGGGGCUUGAUCUUGAAUUGGUGGAAGUUCUUCAAGGGGCCUUUGGGGCUUGAUCUUGAAUUGGUGGAUGAUUGUUGAUCCAAAGGGCUGUUAGGGCUUGAUCUUGAGUUGGUGAUUGUUGAUCCAAGGGCCGUCGGGGCUUGAUCUUGGAAGAACGAUGAACGAGGAACGAAGAACACUUUCUUCAAGGGCCGUCGGGGCUUGAUCUUGGAAGAACGAUGAACGAAGAACGAAGAAGGCUUUCUUGAGUCUUCGGGAACCUGGAUGCUUGAGAGCUUCGGAGUUUCAGAGCUUCAGAGCUUCAAGGUGUAAUAUGAAUUGGUCCUCCUCAAAUGAAUGAAUUAGCCUUCUAUUUAUAGAAAUUUCCAAGGCCUAAUUUUGAAUAUAAUAUUCUAGAUAAAAUAAGUCGUUUCUGCCAGGUGUUGACACGUGUCCUGUUUGAUGACUUUUCCAACUCAUUUCAAUUUUUUCGUCGAGUCACACGCUACGUGUAAAAUUUAUGUAAUACAUGAGCGUUGAAACUUUGAUUUAUCGAUCAACAUUUAUUUACCGAAAUUUCGAUGUCUACAAAUGCCCCCACUUCAAGGCGCGUUCGUAUACAUGUGCUUGUCGCGUGUAGGAGAUGCGUUUUUGAAGUCCCUUAAUGUAGAUGUCGAUCCAAGGGCCGUCGAGGCUUGAUCUUGAAUUGGGCUGGAGAUUUCUUCAAGGACCACAUGCUUAUGGAUGAUGGGUCGGCCAUAAAAAUCAUGCCAAAAUCAAUAAUGACCACAAUCAGUAUCAAGGUAGAUAACCUAUCCCAAAGCCAUCUCGUAAUCCAAGUAUAGAUGACCAUUGGUGAACUCAAAUCAAGCACAUUAUUCUAUGUGAUUGAUGCAAGAACUUCCUACAUCUUGAUAUUAGGAAUGCCUUGGAUCCACGAGAAUGGAGUAGUGUCGUCCACCUUUCAUCAAUGCUUAAAGUUCUACCGAGAAGGAGUAAAGGUGAUACAAGGCGAAACUAAGCCAUUCACCGAAGCUGAAUCACACUUUGCAGACACCAAGUUCUACAUGUAUGAAGACAUGGUGCCCGAAGCUCUUCCAAAAGAAAUCAAAUCCACAUGCAAAGCCACACCUAAGAAACAAUAGUGGCAAGCCGUGCCCACUACAAUCAAAGGGAGUGUGAUGCACUCAAAAUGAGGAAACACACCCGUCUACUGAUACAUCCCAAUGUCGAGAAGAAAGAAUGGGCAAUCCCCAUUCGAAACUGGAACAAGCAAAGCCAACACAUAGUUGCACAAGGACAAUGUAAAGCUACUCAACACAAACGCAGUAUUACCUCUGACAUAGCUAAGCAACGCUAAGGUUUCAAAACCACCACAAGGUUUCAUAAAACCCCUGUUGGAAAUGUGCCCUAAAACCAAUCAUGUGAUGAUGCUUUACGGACAUUUCACAUGUUAAACUAAUCUAGUUUAAUAUAAAGGGCAAAGAUUAUUGUUUGAGCCGUCUCAUAUAAAUGUUAUAUGCUUAAACGAUAAAGUCCAAGGAAUAUGUGAUUGGGAGAAUGUAAUCUAAUGAAGUUAGAUUCCUGAGACCAUUCUUUCGUAGACACAUCCUAAAUGUUCCUGAUCAUAGGAUUGCCAAUUGGGCAUUGACAGUCCGUCAAGAUCGGUACGUCCUAUGUCUUCUCUCAGGAAGAGUGACUAGUCUCGAGUCAUUGGUGUGUGUGACAUCAAGACAAGUACGUAGGUGCUCAGUAGAGAAUGAGUUCACUGAACGCGAUCAACGAAGAGUUCUCAUACUCAUGUCACAUGAGAACUCAUGGUUGGGAUAAUGCAAAGUAGUCAUUUGACCUAAGGCAUCACAGUUGUCUUGUGGUUAAGUCCUUGAUCUUUGAUUAUGUCAAAGUCACCCCAUCGGGGUGUCCAUGGCAUCGUUUGUUCUUGGACUUUGUUUGAGAUUUCUUCAAGGGCCGUUUGAGGCUUGUUCUUGAACUUUUGUUUGAAAUUUCUUCAAGGGCCGUCGAGGCUCGAUCAACAUUUAUUUACCGAAAUUUCGAUGUCUACAGUUUUAUCUUUGAUUAUCAUAUUUGGUAUCGGAUAGCUGCUGGACUUGAUUCAUCAUCAUCAUCUUCUUCUUCUUCUUCUUCUCUCCAAACUUUUUCCAUUUUUUUAAUUUAUAAUUUUGGGUGAAAAUUUCUAAUCAAAUUUUCCAGCUGGGUGGAAAAUAAUUCAAGAAAAAAGGUGUUCGUGGCCAUUUGGCAUCCACAUGGUGGGGGUGGGGGAUCGGAGCUAUAUUGUGUGUUGGAGAAAAAGAUAGAGGACGGUGGGGUGGGGCUAGGGAUGGGCAAUGGUUAUGGCGGGCGGCUAACCGAGGUUAUUUACUCAUAACCGUUUAUAUUCAUACCCGUAUAUCCGUUUACCCGUUGGGUAAUUGCAUAAACGGUUAUACUCAUACCCAUAACUGUUUAUAAAUGGUUAACCAUACCUAUUUAACCAUAACCGUUUACCCAUUUAACAAUAAUCAUUUACUUGUGUUUGUACCAUACUUGACCAAUCCCGAAACUACCGAGCACCGGCCAACGCUAUACUGUCAAGGACCCAGAAGAGUUCCCCUCCGACCAGGAGGCCAAUCAUUACUCGACACGUGUCAAGAUUAGAAGCCAAUCAGAGCGCAGCACGUGUCGACAUCAAGAACCAAUCAUAACAUGACACAUGUCAAUGUGACAAAGCUACAAGUUUUUCUAUAAAUAGGGGUCAUUCCCCCACAAUAUUGGCUAAUGCCAUUUGUGUUAAAUCAUUCACAAGAACUCACUAAAUUGAGAGCUUGAUCCUUUGUACUUGUGUAAGCCCUUCACUACUAAUAAGAACUCUUCUACUCCGUGGACGUAGCCAAUCUGGUGAACCACGUACAUCCUGUGUUUGCUUCUCUGUCUCUAUUCAUUUACGUACUUAUCCUCACUAGUGACCGAAGCAACCAAGCGAAGGUCACAAAACCUGACACUUUCUGUUGUACCAAAGUCUUCGCUGAUUUUGUGCAUCAACAUUUGGCGCCGUCUGUGGGAAACGACACUUAUUCCUACUCUCUUCAGCUGUGUCAAGCUGGUUUCUAUCAUUCGUACACUUUCUUUUGAUCAGGCAUCCCUCUCCAGCAUGGGAAGCGAAGGAAGCCACAGCACACAGAAUGACACCCCCUUGCACAUAGUGCGAAACAACGAAAGAAGGAAGGAAAACGAGUUCUUCUUCAAGCUAAAGUCGAUGAGUUGGAAGCUCAGAACAACAGAGAUAGCAAUGAGGGAAUGAGGUCCUCCAGGAGCAAUAUGAGAAGCUCUUCGAGACACUUCACGAAGCUAGGCAAGCUCAGACACGCGAGCUUGUUGCCCCCGUGGAAGUCAACCAUCAACUGGGUGCCCCUCCAACAUGGAGGGUCACAUGCAUUCGACAUAGAUAUCCCUGAUAGGGAACAAUUACCCCUCGAUUUGAUAAUCAACAUGAGGCUUCUCUUAACCCAGUUGCUUCGACCCGAACCAUGAGAAGCGGAGGGAGACACCUCUUUGCUGAAGGGGCAGAAGGAUCGAAAGCCGUCUUUCGCGAUUGUCGGGAUUUCCUGAAGCAACGUCGAGAGAAUUCCAUCCAUAUAAGCUCAAAGAUCAAUGACCCAAGGAUUUCUGAGAGACUCGGUCCCCUGCCACGGCCCGAGCCGGCCACCAAUUUGGGGAAGGGGCAACAAGUCCUAGAGAGACAUGAGGGUACAGGGGACUCAGAGGUGUUCCGACAGACAUACCCUGGAAGCCAGUACAGCGAGUCCAGGAAAAAAUCACAUGCCCUUGAUCAAACCUUCCUAAAUUCCAAGAGGAGAUGGAGAUUUACGAAAGAAAGCUCCAGUGGCACAUAACUCCGCUCAGGACCCCCUUGUCCUACAACUUUCUUGAGGAAGUAAACAAGUUGAAGGCUGAACGUCAGGCUGAAAUACCUGACUGGAACCAACCCAGGCCUGGCCCCUCUUACAAGGAGGAUCCUCAACACCCCCUUCAAGCAAAGACAAAGCAGAAGCUUGGCUUGCAACUUUAUACUGGAAAAGAGGACCCGAUUGAGCACCUUAACCUCUUUGAGUCCACCAUGGCAUACCGGAUGCACACCGACGAAGAGCGAUGUCUUCUCUUCCCCUCCACCCUCUCUGGCGGAGCUCUAAAUUGGUAUUGUCGUCUUACACCUGAGACGGUAGACUCAUUUGAGGAAUUGAGGAAACUAUUUGUUUUCCAACACAUUUUCCAAACCGAUCGCUUGCACUCUGCAGAUGACCUGUACACUAUCCGCCAGAGGCCAGACGAGUCAUUACAUAUGUAUGCUGGCCGCUUCAGCCAUGAAUAUUCCCGGUGUGCCGAGGCAGACGACAAGACUGCCCUCAAAGCCUUCACGGCAGGCCUACGUGAUUGUUUCUUUAAAUACAUGAUCAAUGCCAAUACUUGGAAGACUUACUCUGAGGUGAUGGCGCAGGCUUAUAACCAUGCCUCCGCCGAGGCAAAGACAUAUCAGGAGAAACCCCCUCACCCAACGCCAUGGAGGAAGAACUAGCAAUAGCUAAAGUUUGACGGUUGGGAAGAUCAUCCAAUGUUUCUCUAGUACAGGACUCUAACAAAGACCCUGAAGACUCCGACAUUGCAGACUCAGACUUAGAGCUAAAGCUAGAAGAGCCCUCAUCACUAGAACUUCCAGGCUCUGACAUCUACAAUAAGAAGAAACAAAUUCUAUCACUACAUGCAUGAUCAAAACAUAAGGAAGUUCCUAUAUUACCCACAUGAAGAUGGUGCAAAGCGAUGCCGGAACCCUUCUCAAUCAGAAAGCAAUCCGUCUUCCACAGUCACUACAAAACAAGCAAAUGAAGACCGUGUCAAGCGCCAAAAAAAAAAAAAAAAAAAAAAAAAAAGCUUCAUCCAAAAAGCUUCACCUCCAAAACUUCACCCAAAAAGCUUCAUCCAAAAAGUUUCUUCCAAAAAGCUUCACCUAAAAAAGCUUCACCAAAAAAAAAAAAAACUUCACCUCCAAAAAGCUUCACCCAAACAGCUUCACCUAAAAAAGCUUCACCCACAAAAGCUUCACCUAAAAAGCUUCACCCACAAAGCUUCACCCAAAAAGCUUCACCUCCAAAACUUCACCCAAAAAGCUUCAUCCAAAAAGUUUCACCCAAAAAGCUUCACCUAAAAAAGCUUCACCCAAAAAAAAAAAAAAAAAAAAAAAAAACUUCACCUCCAAAAAGCUUCACCCAAACAGCUUCACCUAAAAAAGCUUCACCCACAAAGCUUUCACCUAAAAAAGCUUCACCCACAAAGCUUCACCCAAAAACUUCACCCGAAAAGCUUUCACUUAAAAAAGCUUCACCUAACACAGCUUCACCUAAAAAAGCUUCACCUAGAAAGCUCCCUCUACAUACUUUCACCUACAAAGCUUCACCAUCAAAGCUUCACCUCGAAAGCUUCAUCUACAAAGCUUUAUCUACAAAGCUUCACCAUCAAAGCUUCACCCAAAAAGCUUCACCUAAAAAAGCUUCACCCAAAAAAAACUCCACCUCCAAAAAGCUUUCACCCAAACAGCUUCACCUAAAAAAGCUUCACCCACAAAGCUUCACCUAAAAAGCUUCACCCACAAAGCUUCACCCAAAAAACUUCACCCGAAAAAGCUUCACUUAAAAAAGUUUCACCUACAAAGCCUUCACCUAAAAAAGCUUCACCUAGAAAGCUUCACCUACAUAGCUUCACCCAGAAAGCUUCAUCUACAAAGCUUCACCAUCAAAGCUUCACCUCCAAAGCUUCACCUACAAAGCUUCAACACAAAAACCUUGCUCCAAAUAAACAAAUUUUGUUCACAAAACCCAAGAUGCCCUUGAACUUGUACAAAAACACUUGGGUAAACAUAAACAUUUUUUGUUUUACACCCACAAGGGCCCAAAAUUUUCCUUCUUAUUUAUUCACUUAUAUAUGUUCCCAAACAUAUUAUAAUAGAUCCAACAACAAGCCAAAGUCCCAAGUUUCAUAAUGGACAAAAGUACAAAGCAAUUCAUCAAUAAUGAAGGUGCUACAAAACUUGGAAAUCUGCCCCAAAAAUAGAAAUCCAACCCAAGAGACUUUUUCUCUCUCUCCCUCUUCCGCCUCCUUUCAUCUAUCAAAUUUCUGCAAACCUCUGCUCUUCUCCAAUGGAGCUGAAUUUUGGACACCUAUAGUUUUUGAGCAUCAUGAACAACUUUCAAGAAGGAACCAUUUCUGUUUUGAAGCGACGGAAAUUAAAGUGUUGAAGCUCCAAACAUGACAGUCGAUUCUUGCAGAUUUCGAAGCUGCUAUGAUGUUUCGAAGAUCUGGAAAUAUUUAACCAUUAGUUCAUUCUGAAUUUUUGAUAUGUUAUGAAAGAGACGAUGAGGCACAACUUCAAUGAAGAAAGCAUGCUGAUCUGAACAAUAGAAAAUGGAGUUUCGAAGCUCACAAACAAAUCUGACGGGUUGACAGAAAAAAUAAUAACCAGUCAUUCAUCAUACCUAAAUUUCUUGAGUUAUACAGCUCCGAGGGAUCUAAAAUUUGGAUAUGUUGUAGUUCACAAGCUGAGGAACAACUUCAAUGAAGAAAGAAUGCUGAUCUGAGCAAGAGAAAAUAGAGUUUCAAAGCUCACAACAAAUCUGACGGGUUGACAGACAAAUGAUAAACAGUCACUCAUCAUACCUGGAUUUUCUGGAGUUAUACUGCUCCGAGGGACCUCAAAUUUGGAUAUGUUGUAGUUCACAAGUUAAGGAACAACUUCGAUGAAGAAAGUAUGUUGAGAUGAACAAGAAAAAAUGGAGUUUAGAAGCUCACAACAAGUCUGACGGGUUAACAGAAAAUUGAUGAACAGUUUACUCAUCAUACCUGAAUUUCUGGAGUUUGUACUACUCCGAUGGAUCUCAAAUUUGGAGAUGUUGUAGUUCACAAGAUAAGGAACAACUUUCAUGAAGACGACUUUGCGAUAUGAGCUAUAGAGAAUGGUGUUAUCUUGCAUCCACUCAGGCUGAUUAGUGGAAACGAAAAGCAAUUCCACCAAAGAAAAGAUGAAAAAGAGAAGAAAAGCUACUAAUUGCACUUGAUCUUGUCUAGUCAAUAGCAUGCAGCAUCAAACACACAAAAGUUGGAAAUAUUUUUAGACAAGGCAUAUGCGAAUGUGUGACAUCGAAACAAGGAUUCGUUACUUUGACAAAUUAGUAACAAGCGAGACACCUCAUUCGGCAACUCUAUUCGCCUGAAGACUUGGGGGACUCCCACCAUAUGCUACUGCACCUUAAUACUCGGCAGUCUCACAACCACUCAGUGACUUGGAUUUUUCAAGUCUCCAACCGAGAAGUUUUUCCUCACUCGGGAAAUUAAGGGAACACUACCUCAAACUACAUGCUUCACUCACAAAGCUUCAACAAUACAGGUUUCAACAAAAGCAAAAAUUCAAAGAACUUUAUGAAGAAGGCUUUGGUGUAUUUAACACAAUAUAUUGAAAUGAAGCAAAGCUUAUUUAUUAAUAUUUUCGAUAAGCCACAAAUAUGUACAUAUACAUGAGUCAAAAAUAAACAAACAAAAGGGAGCCUUCACAAAGGUUGCUUAGGGGAAGUCUCAGCAGUCGGUAGAGCCCCAGAAAGAGAAAGCACCGGAGGGUGGUUAUCCGGAGCCUCAGUACUUGACAAAACCCCAGAAGGAUGAGGCAUUGGAGGUUCAUCAUUUGAAGCUUCAUUACCAGGUACAGCCCCAGAGGACGAAGGCAAUAAAUGCCUUUGGAACAAACCCACAAACCGCUGAUGAUCAAGUAAAACCUUACCAUCAGAUUCCUUCAUCUGGUCAAGCUUCCUCUUCAUGUUUGUAGCAUAGUCAUGGGCGAGCCGGUGCAACUGCUUAUUCUCAUGCUUGAGCCCUCUAAUCUCCUGUUUGAGACUCAUCACUUCAGCAGCCAAUGAUUCAACUUGGCGGGUUCUAGCAAAUAGGCGUUGGGCCAUAUUAGACACAGAACCUGCACACUGAACACUAAGAGCCAGAAAGUCCUUAACAGCCAACUCAUCAGACCGUUUGGAAAGUAGUCUGUUAUCUUUGGGAGUGAGAAGGUUCCUGGCCACCACUGCAGCGGUCAUAUCAUUCUUCAUCACAGAAUCCCCAACGGUAAGAGGACCAGUAGGGGAUAUGAAGGAUGGGCGCCAUAUGUUGUCUGGAGAAGGCGUGGCUGUCUCUUCUCCAAGGUUCAGGUCAAAACGACGGUCGGAGGGUCCAGACAUUUUCAAAUGUGUUGAAGAAGGAAGAGGUCAGACAAAUCAAGAUCUUAGAAGUGCAAGAAAUGAGCUUCUACUGGUAAAGAUUCAGGUGUGCUGUGGAACUUAAUGCCAGCCUCUAUAAAAAUCUGCACUCGACGGAGCUUCAGAAAUCGAAGAGGCGUUUGCUUUCUCAAAAGCUGGGCUGCUCAGAGACCACGAGGGCCGAUCUCAGAAAUCGAAGAGGCGUUUGCUUUCUCAAAAGCUGGGCUGCUCAGAGACCACGAGGGCCGAUCUCAGAAAUCGAAGAGGCGUUUGCUUUCUCAAAAGCUGGGCUGCUCAGAGACCACGAGGGCCGAUCUCAGAAAUCGAAGAAGCACCUGCUUUUUCAGCCUCGUCAGCACCUGUCACAUGCACAAUCAGCUUUGCGGAAAUUACGGGCAAUCUGUCGAAGAUUUCUGGUGAAGUAAAAAGCACGUGAAUCUUACUGUUCAAUCACCGCUCUCCAUAUGCACCAUCAACUCCUCGGGUACCACAUAUAACUUUUUCAAAGAUCUCUGACAAAGUUUAGGCACGAGAAUUUCGAAGUUCCAGCUACCCUACUAUUACCCAUAAGGGUAAAGGAACAGCACCAUUGCUUGACAACUGGAAAGUCCAUAUGUGUGUCGACCUCCGUGUUUUGCGGCAAGACAGGUUGGCAAGAACGUCCAACCUUUACUCACAUUCGAGAAAAGACUCCCAACAUAAUUACUUUCUCAAAAACCGGAGUAGCACCGCUUUCCGAAUCUCGAGAUUCAGAUCCUCGACGGGAUUGCUUGUUCGAAAACCGAAGAGGCACAACUCUCAGAACUUCGAGAGCCAGAUUUCCUUAGAUAAAGCUUGUCUGUAAUCUUCACACGUAAUAUCAGCUUUCCAGAUACCACAUACCACUUUUUCAAAGUGCUCUGACAAAAUUAAAACACGUGAAGCUGGCAACUCCCACUACAUUGCUGUGACCAAGAAGGGUAAAGGAAUAGCAUUACUACUUGUUAUUGGGAAAUCCCUAUAUACAUUGACCUCCCUCCUCAACGGACAGGCAAACCUGCAAAAAAUGCUCAACCCUUUCUCGCAUUCGAAAAGGCACCCUCAACAUAAACUCUCGAAAUACUCAGCUUUAUUUCCCCCCGAUAAUACCUCAGCAAAUAAGCCACACCAAGAACAAGAGUAUCUCAUAUCAUCAGGGUCGAAAGCAAAGUAUCCCAUAUCAUGCUUUCUCCCUAUCUUUGUCUUUGUCCUUGUCCACACCUGCAGGACAAGGAGAAAGAGAGCAGUCAGUCGGAACCUGAAAUCAAACCUCCAAUUUGGAACUGACUGCCUGGAGCCUUUGCCUGGUUGCUUACUUAGCAUUGCUCUCGAGUACUCAUCCUCAACUGCUGUCAAGGUCACGAAUUCCACCGGCAAAUACCUCAUGACAGUUGAUCAGAUAUUGGCUCUUUACACUGAAGCUGCCAAGCAUGGAUGAGUCACUAUGAAGGAAUGUUCUGAAGGACCAUUUAAAUGCAAAGGUUGCACACCACUUCUGCCAUGCAAAAGAUUGAAGCAGAAGGUUCAACGGUGAGCUGAAACAGAUCACUACAGCACGACACCUUUCCAUACCACAUUCAUUAUUCCGUCAACAGCAAAAGUAUCCCAUAUUAUCAAGGUCGAACGUACUUUAGAUUUGAUGGACUUGUUUUGACCCUCAAAUUUUUGAGUCGGCCUUAUACUCUGAAGGGCACCAGAAAACCCUCCAGCACAGUUCAAGAAUAAGCCUGUGGAAAGUUACUUCUUCAAAAGCAAAAGUAUCUCAUAUCAUCUCUUAUCCAUUUGCUUCUCCUUAUCCUGGCAGUUGAAUGAGAGACAAGGAGAAGGAGAACAAUCAACCGGAAGCCGAAGUCAAACCUCUGAUCCUGGGUUGCUUACUUGGAAGUUUGACUGCUUACCUUGUCUGUCACCUCUUUCGGCAGAUCUCCUAGCUCGGUGACUUGGGGGACUCCUACUAUAGGGUUUGUAUCACACUUGACUAAGCCCGAAACUACAACUAAGCUUCAAGUGAAAUUGAUACAUUACCUUGUGCGUCAACAUCAGCUAAAUACACCAUUCCCGGAUGGAGGAAAGGUACUUCCAGAGAAGGGCAGAUGAAGAUCAGACCACACUUCGGUACUUAGAAGUUUCGUGAUUACUCAAGGGAUUGGAUCUUGCAAGUCCCCAACCGAGGAGUUUCCCUCACUCGGGAACUUAGGGGAGCACUGUUUGUACCAUACUUGACCAAUCCCGAAACUACCGAGCACCGGCCAACGCUAUACUGUCAAGGACCCAGAAGAGUUCUCCUCCGACCAGGAGGCCAAUCAUUACUCGACACGUGUCAAGAUUAGAAGCCAAUCAGAGCGCAGCACGUGUCGACAUCAAGAACCAAUCAUAACAUGACACAUGUCAAUGUGACAAAGCUACAAGUUUUUCUAUAAAUAGGGGUCAUUCCCCCACAAUAUUGGCUAAUGCCAUUUGUGUUAAAUCAUUCACAAGAACUCACUAAAUUGAGAGCUUGAUCCUUUGUACUUGUGUAAGCCCUUCACUACUAAUAAGAACUCUUCUACUCCGUGGACGUAGCCAAUCUGGGUGAACCACGUACAUCCUGUGUUUGCUUCUCUGUCUCUAUUCAUUUACGUACUUAUCCUCACUAGUGACCGAAGCAACCAAGCGAAGGUCACAAAACCUGACACUUUCUGUUGUACCAAAGUCUUCGCUGAUUUUGUGCAUCAACAACUUGUUUACCCGUUUAUCCUUUUUUUACCCAUUUUCACCGUCUACGUGUUUUUUUUUAACAACUUGAAAAUUACAAAAGAAAAAUUUGUCAUAAUUUUCGUUUUCUGACAAUUAAACACCAUUAUAGGUACAUUUUAGCAUGCAUUUCCCUAUUUUAAUCAUUUAAGUCCUCAUACAAUUCCAAUAAUUAAAAUAAUAGUUUACGAACGAUAUUUUUCUACUACACCCAAGCAAGUCUUUAAUUAUAAUCCAUAUAUUAAGUAAGCUUCUAAAAACAAAAAGUAGUCAUUAUCUUAAAUACUAGAUGAUUCAAAGCUCCAAAAUAUUACGAAACUAAACACUUUCGAACACUAAUGCUUUAGCACGUUCAAUCACAAAGUCUUAUUGACUCGUGUCACCAAAAGAGGCCUACAAAAGAAAUGUAUAAAUUGAAUUAGUAUCCCAUUUAGGAACACCGACACCAAUUAGCAUGAAUCCAACAGAGAUAAGUGAUCACAUAAUGUUUACAUUGUACACUCAGUUAUCAGAAGAAAAAAAAGAAAAAAAAAGAAAAAAGCAAACAAAAGCGGAGUACCAAAUCAAUUGAGAGAUAGAUGAGUGGCGGAGAUGAGAGAGAGGGAAGUGAGGAGGGAGAGAUGAGCGGGAGACGGAGCGUUUGAGACUCUAAGUUUGGCAAAGAGAUUGAAAAUUUAAGGUUUUUAAUUUUUUUUUAAUUUUACAUAUAUUAAAGAGUAAACUGUCAUUUAACCCCCUAAACUAUCACGUGAGUUUCAAUUUCCCCCAUGAACUAUUUUUUCAGCCAAUUGACCCCCUAAACUAUGUUAAAGUUGCCAAUUAACCCCCUACCGUUAAGUAUCUUUAACUCCAUCCAAUUUUCUGUUAGAAAGUGUCAUGUGCUUGUCACAUGACCACCUUUUUACAUUUUAUGUCUAAAUCUUUACAAAGAAAACAUAUAAAACAACUAUAAAAAAAAAACAUACAAACCCUAAACUUAAUCAUUCAAAAUAAUAGAAAAAGUAAGGCUUUUUAUAUUAACACCCCAUAAAAUGUUGAAUGCACCCAUAUUAAAAUUUAAUAUUAAAUGACUUAUUUACUCUACUAUGCAAUGACAAUUUUGACCUUAUUAGGUUUUAAAAAAAAAAAUUAUAAAUACACCCCAAAUCACUUUUAGCGUAUUAUUUAUAUUCUCAACUAUCAAAACCCUCUCAUCCUCCAUUGUUGAACAAAACCCUAAUCAAUGAAACUACAAACAUGUUGAUUGAGAAAAAUUGUUUUUGACGAAUGAAACACGAAAUCAAUGUUUCUGAAGCUUCACAUGAGGUAAGACUUCACAAUUUUCAUUGUUUUAGUGAUUUCGAUGACAUCGAUAAUUAUUUAAUCUUGCGUUUGCUGCAUUAUUUAAACUUAUAUAUUCAUAUUCAUAUUCAUCUUUUAGGGUUCAUAUUGAAAAAUAAUGCAGCAAACGCAAGAUUAAAUAAUUAUCGAUGUCAUCGAAAUUACUAAAACAAUGAAAAAUGUGAAGUCUUACCUCAUGUGAAGCUUCAGAAACAUCGAUUUCAUGUUUCAUUCAUCAAAAACAAAUUUUCUCAAUCAACAUGUUUGUAGUUUCAUUGGUUAGGAUUUUGUUCAACAAUGGAGGAUGAGAGGGUUUUGAUAGUUGAGAAGAUAAAUAAUAUGCUAAAAGUGAUUUGGGAUGUAUUUAUAAAUUUUUUUUAAACCUAAUAAGGUCAAAAUUGUCAUUGCAUAGUGGAGUAAAUAAGUCAUUUAAUAUUAAAUUUUAAUAUGGGGUGCAUUCAACAUUUUGUGGGGUGUUAAUAUAAAAAGCCUUACCUUUUCUAUUAUUUUGAAUGAUUAAGUUUAGGGUUUGUAUGUUUUUUUUUUAAUAUUUAUUUUAUAUGUUUUCUUUGUAAAGAUUUAGACAUAAAAUGUAAAAAGGUGGUCAUGUGCCAAGCACAUGACUCUUUCUAACAGAAAAUUAGAUGGAGUUAAAGAUAUUUAACGGUAGGGGGUUAAUUGGCCACUUUAAUAUAGUUUAGGGGGUCAAUUGGCUGAAAAAAUAGUUCAGGAGGGAAAUUGAAACUCACGUGAUAGUUUAGGGGGUUAAAUGACAGUUUACUCUAUAUUAAAUUAAAUAGGUAAAUGGAUACCCAUUAUAACUGCGGGUAAUACCCAUAACUGAUGGAUACUCGUUAUAACCGCGAGUAAUACCCAUACCCAUUUAAAUUUCAUAGAUAAACGGUUGGGUAUAACCGUUUGUUCGUCUAAACGGUUAUCCAUAACCAUAACCAUGAACUUUAAAUGGGCGGGUAACUACGGUUACCCAAACCCAUGGAUAUUUUGCCCAUCCCUAGGUGGGGCGGAGCUGCAGUGAGUGUCGAAGACAGAGAGGUCGAGCUUGCAGAACGGAACAUACAUGGUGGUCAUAGCAGGGAGGAAGCUCAACGUCGGUAAGGUAUUAGGGAGAAGAACCGCAAGAUUUAGGUAGACGGAGAUUGGGCUCGACGUCGUAGUUAUGGCAGCAACCAUUGUCUGUGUUCAACGACUUGCGAGUCGGCUUCGCCAACGAGUUUUUUCACAGUUAAGAGCAAAAGAAAAGUUUCUAGCGAGUAAGGAUAGAUUAGUAAUUUCAUAUCAACUUUUGGUUAUAAUUAUCAUAAACUUAGAAGUGUGGCUAUAAUUUUAUAUGAGGUCCAAAUUUUGAUUAUUUUUCCAAAUUUCCAAACUUGGGUUGGGUCAACUUGAAUCUGACCAUAUUAUUUAGGGAACUUUAACGAAAAGCUCCCAAUACUGUUCACUUUAACGAAAAACCACAUUUUUACACUAAAAAGUCAAUCCUGAUACUAUUCACUUUACCCUUUAUUUUGUCCUUAUCGUUAAAACUCAAAGUUUUCAAAUCCUUUUCAUUAGUUAUCUUUAUUAUUUACAAAUUUUUAUCAUGUAUAAAGUUUAUAAUCAAAACCACUCAAUUAUUUAAUAUUCAUUUAUAAAUCAUUUAUAAAACAAAUGCCAAACUGCUUUGCACCGAAAAAGUGCCAAACGACUUGCCAAAGACCAGUGGGAUGAAUCAGAUGAACAUAAAAAAUAAAAAAUAAAAAAUAAAGCAUUUGGUGAAGGCCAGGACAGCAUGCAUCCUUUGGUGAAUGGCAUAAAAAGUUAAAUUUGUCUACUAACACAAGCGUUUAAAGACUUUUUUUUGUAUAACAUUUUGGUUUUAGUUUUAAUUUUUGUCUUAAAAAUAGAAGAGCGAAAAAAUGGAUAUAAAAGAGCGAAGGAAGAGUGAUUGCAAUGUUGUAAAAGAAUUGUCCAACAAAAGGUACACAAAACGAAAACUAAAAACCAAAAACUAUCUUCAGUUAUUUUUAUUUUCAAGAUCUUAUUUUGGGAAGAUGAUUUUCACUCUUUUUAGUCUAUCAUGCAUGAGAUAUUUUUCAGUGUGCUUAGAACAAAAGUACAUACGCUAUAUGUCAUUAUACAAAUGGUGAAACACUGGAAAAAAAAAAUGUUCCCUUGUAUAAUAACAUAUGACGUACCAGUUUGUGUUCUGAAAACAUUUAAAAAUCUCUCCUCAUGUACCCGUUUUUACUAUUAGAUUAAAUUAAUUAAACAUAAACAAUACUCUGAAUUAAGGGGAGUGUAUGAAACUAAAAAGAGUUUGUAUUCCUAUUUUUAGUUGCCCUCUUUUUGACCAUCCUCCUUCAUUUCUGAUUCUCUUACUCUCUACAUGUAAGCACAAAGACUAUAAACUGAAAUAAUUAUAAAUAAAUAAAACAUAUUAUAUAAAAAUAAUGUUAAAAAGAUCAAAUUUACAAAUAAAAUCCUCUCAUCUCUCAUUUACAAUAAAAAAGAAAAAAAAAGAAACAGCUGUUUUUCUUUUGGUAAAGAAAACAACCGUGUUUCUAAAUCACAACGGACGAGAAGUCAAAUCAAAAUUGAGGAGCAAAGCCUAAACUGAUCAUGCAUCUGAGUGACUGAGUCCUUAGAAAUAUAAAAUGAAUAAAGUAAAAUAUGGUGGCCGACGUUAUUGUAUUAUAUACAUCUCCCGCAGAAAGAGACGUUGUGAUUGCUUUCUAUUUGUCUUUUUCAUUCAUCUCUCGCGAAAAACUCUAAAGAAAAGGAAGUAGGAUUCCUUCUAUUUUUUUCUUUGUCUUUUAUUUGAACGAUCACGGUUAAAUUAUGUUAAUAUUUUAUAUUAAUUUUUUUUAUAGUAAAAGUAAGAUAAAAUAAAAGUAUAUAAAAGGAGAAAAUGAAAAAAAAUGAAAAAAAGAAAGAAUAAAAUCCUACACCAAAGAAAAGAACAAAGAAAGAGAAUCACAAAACGACUCUUUCUCCAAUCUCUAGAUUCCAUUAUAUAUCCACUUGCACUUUCUUCCGUCUCAAAACCCAACAAAAGAAGACCCUGGACCAAAAAAAAAUACCAAUUCAGCUAAUCUAAAUUAGUCAACACGUGUUAAUUUUCAUUUACGUGUCAAUUUGAAUUAUAAGUAUGAGAUGUCAAGUUGACGACAUACCUGGCCAUGAAAGUUUGUCCGUAUGUGAGAGUAAGAUUAAUGGCGUGUUUACGUAACAGUAAUGAAAAUAGAAGGAAUUGAAUUGAGAAGGAGUUGGAUUGAGGAGGAGUCAGAAUCGUAUUCCUGUUGAAGCUGUUUACUUAAAUAUUCUGAAAUCAGAAUAGAAUUUCAUAAAGCUGUUUACUAAUUCAGCAGAAUCGGAAUAUAAAUUAAUAUGAUUACUAAAAUACCCUUAUUCCAAAUAAAAUAUUUUAUAUACUUUAAUGGGUUUAUAAAUGAUAGUCUUGGAAAUAAAAAAAAAGUAAGUGGGGGCAUAAAAGGAACAAAAGUGUCAUUCCAAUUACCCAAAUAAUCAGGAAUUGGAUUACCACCUAUAUCUAGGGAAUCCAAUUCCACCAAUACAAGGAAUUGAAUUCCAAAAUUUAUGUGGGCACCACUGCUUUUUUUAUUCCUCCAUGUUUAGUAAACACUGAAGUACUUCAUAAUUGGAAUUCAAUUCCACAUUCUCAUUCUGAUUACGGAUACAUAAACACGCCCUCAAGAGAGAAUGGAAGAGGAAAAAGAUUACGAGGAAAGAGAAAUUGAUUCCAUAUAACCAUUAGCCGUCAGCUUUCUCAUCACCACCUACCGAUUGGUUUGAGAAAGAUGAAAACCAAAGGAAUCAUUUGAAUAGAUAAUCAGAAAAAUGCUGUGUCGGUGGCGUUACAUUCAGCACUCAAAUUUGCCAAAUACAAACGACUGAGAACGCAAAAAAGAAAAAUCUUGUAAAAUCACCCUACUGGUUUCUGCUACCGUAUCAACUAUCAAGCAAGUGCCAAUAAACUGCAUGUAUGUAUUUACCAUUAUCAGCAAUAACGUAUUUUCUGGGCCUUUUCUAAUCCUAACCACCUAUCCCAUCAUCCAUCCAUCCAUCCAAGCAAAGCAGCUGUUAGGGUAAGGACCACUCUCCCUGCGGAAGAGCUCAGCUUUCUACGAGAUUUAUACCCGUGGAAGUGCUGAAUCAACUGAAAGCGAUCGCUGCAAGUAUUUGAUGGAUGAUAAGGAAUGAUCACUUCCUUGUAAUUUCUUCUUUUGAUGGCCCAAGCUGAAACGAGGGUAAAAUGCCAUUUCAUCUAUUGAAUUAUUACUUCAGUUGAAAUUGACUCAUGAACUAUCUUUUUGCUCAAUUAACCCCAUAAACUAUUUGAAAUAAGCCAAUUGACCCCUUGUCGAUAGAUUUCAUUCACUACUUUGUUAAAUUCAAAGGAAAAUUAGUAUUUCUUUCAUCAAUUCUUAAUUGUCAACUAUAAGCAACAAUGUAAUUAUGACAUGUGAAAACAAAAUAAUGUGUAAUGACAAUGUAAGAUAAUCCGUUAUAUAAAUGUUUGGUUUUUUUUGUUUUCUUAUUAUGCUAUAUGUUUUUGAAUGAUUUUGUGUCCAUGUAUCACAAUUUCAUUGGUGAUUAUAGCUGACAAGUAAUAAUUAAUGAUGAAAUGACUAACUUGCCCAUAAAUUUGACGGAAUUGAUUCCGCUAUCUAAUGGCAAUGGGUUAAUUAACUGAUUUUAAAUAGUUUAGGGGGUUAAUUUAUAAAAAAAAUAGUUUAGUGGGUCAAUUUCAACUGGAGUGAUAAUUUAGGAAAUUAAACCGCAAUUUAUCCCUGAAACACAGAAUAGAUCAGCAAAACUUCACUGUUGCUUAACAACUUCCUUUAUAUGAGAAUAAGAGCAUCUCACAACACAGCCGGCAAAUUCAAACGACUUUAAAGCAAACAAAACGAAAAUUCUUACUAGAAAGCAAAACCAAAGCCACCACUUCGGAUGAUAAAAACAUAUUCCCAUCAAAUUAAAUGAACACAACGACAAAAAAGUAAAUGAACAAAUUCAAAAGCAGUCUCCGCUACAGAAACCGCAACAAAGCAAAGGGUACAAGACUAGUGAUCUCAGCAAGGAGCUCAGAAACCCAUUAUAGCAGAAAGAAUUCCUGUAAAAUUUUAAUUCACAGUCGUGUUACAAGCCACAUGAAGGCGGCGGACCAGAAUGUAAGCGACAGUGAAGCAAAGGCAUAAGUCCACAACAUGAUAACUGAACAUUCAUUCUCUCCUGCUCCGAAUAAUUGCGUCAUUGUUCCUGCCAUAUUUUAAAGGAUCAAUAAACAAUACUUGACAAUAAAUUUACAUUUGUUACGAUAUAGAGUGAGCGAGCAACUUCUGAUUGCACUUUUUUGUUGCUAAACAGCAGGAGCAAGCGUACCUAUGUUCAUCGCAGGUGGGAGUGAAAAUUGAAGCAGAAGAACAAACAGAUAUAAUGGAUCAGAGUGCACCAACCCAAAUUUCAGUGCCCCUUUAAUAACCAAUAUGCCUAUAAGAGGCAGGGCAACAUAACGAACAACGAUGAUGCCAACGACAAGAGAUUUCUGAAUCCCUGACCCUCUCAAACCUGCAACAACAAUGUGAAGUAGGUUCUAAACUAAACCAACAAUUAAGUACAUCACUAACAGAAUUUGUAUGGGUUAUUACCUUUAAGUAGGUUUCCUCCUAUUAUCAAAGUGAGAGCUGGGAUGGCUCCGUUCCUGCAAUCAUAAAGAACAAGUCUCUUUAACUGAUGCUGAGUGAACAACAAAAAUGAUACAAACACUUUGUAUAAAGAACAUGCUCGUCUAUUGAGCCGAAAUUCAAAAACCAUCUGGUCUGAGCAUGUUUUGUAAAGUCGGGAUUAACACCAGACAAGUAUUCUACUUUUAUGCUAAUUGAGAACCAAAUUAUUCAUCCGGAUAUGUACAACUAUUGGACCAAGCAUGGUUAGUAUCUUCCCUAGUAUGUAAUAGUAUUAAGAACGGGAAGCUAGAUUAGUUGCCAAUAAGUGCAUAGAUCGUGGAUAAAUUAUUAAG